CGUAGGGUGCGAGCGUUAAUCGGAAUUACUGGGCGUAAAGCGUGCGCAGGCGGUUUUGUAAGACAGAUGUGAAAUCCCCGGGCUCAACCUGGGACCUGCAUUUGUGACUGCAAGGCUAGAGUACGGUAGAGGGGGAUGGAAUUCCGCGUGUAGCAGUGAAAUGCGUAGAUAUGCGGAGGAACACCGAUGGCGAAGGCAAUCCCCUGGACCUGUACUGACGCUCAUGCACGAAAGCGUGGGGAGCAAACAGGAUUAGAUACCCUGAUAGUCCACGCCCUAAACGAUGUCAACUGGUUGUUGGGUCUUUACUGACUCAGUAACGAAGCUAACGCGUGAAGUUGACCGCCUGGGGAGUACGGCCGCAAGGUUG
rnacentral:rRNA from 1 species